rnacentral:lncRNA from 1 species
AUAGAGUUAGGGCUGAGCUGGGUUUCCCUUGUCAUUAUUUUAAAAGAUGGUGGAGUCUUGGGGAGAGUUGGCACAAGCUGAAUGUGCCUGAGACUCUGCCGUGCAUCCUCUGAAUCCACCUUCUGUAGCUACUAGAUCAGCUGAAUCUGCCAGGCUCCAGGAAAGGGGCUGCAGUGAGUAGUAGAUAUAAUGUACGAUGGAAGUCAGACAUAAUAUGCAGACUCUGUGAAGGUCAGAUUCACCAUCUCCAAAGACAAUGCCAAGCACAGGUUGUAUCUGCAAAUGAACAGUCUGAGAGCUGAGAAUAUGGCUCUGUA